UCCAGCACCCGGGCUCCGCGUACGGCAGCCCCUCGGGCGGAGGCCUCGUGACGAGCCUCGCGCCCCCCGCCCUGGCCAGGCUGUCCUUUCCCGUCUCCGCGCCGGCGGCGGCCGUGGACCUUCCCCUGCCCCCUCCGGACGGUUCCUCCCGGCUCGGCUCCCCGCAGCCGGGCGGGUUUGGGGCGAUGGGCCUCUCAACCUCCGCCCCCGGCCCCCGCGGGGCCGUCGGAAGGGAGCGGCGGGGUACAACCUGCUCUACAGUCUGGCAGAACCAAGUGAGGCACGAACUACCAACAACCCCUAAGCCACUGACUCGAGCUGAGGAGGCGGCCCCAUCACUGCUUACCUGUAACACAAAGGCACCACAGUCGCUGUCGUUAUUCUGCCUGGCCACAUUCUAGGGAAGAGAAAGCAAGAACCUGUCGUCCACUUGGAGACUCGCAGAGGUUAUGAAUUCACUUUCUGCCUCCUCUCCACUACCCUCCCCAUUACACGAGUCCACUUCCCUCUGGAAACUCACCAUUUUGAAGUAACCUUUCCAGCCCUGGUGGAAAUCCAGUCGGUCUUUUUUUACAGCCUCUGCCUGCAGAUACUUGGCAAUAUGCUAUGUGGGCAGGGGAAAAGAAAGUGAUACUUUCAUCAUUUACCAGCCGAAUGCAGCGUAUACUGGUGGCAAGCACCAUGCCCCUGGCACUCUUCUGACUCCAAGCCCACAGUUCUUCCUGGAUGCCUUGUUCCCAGAUUGCCCUCCAUCUUUAUCUUUAUUACUUGUUUUCCCACAACCUCCUCAAACCUUAGGGCAGCGGCGGUUCAGAGUGCGCUGUGAGUCAAAAUAGGUGAUGGUGCGCCGCCUUACAUCAACUGAGAUGAGGGACCAGUGUACCUCCAGAUGGAUGGGGAUUAGCAGUAGUUCCUUAUUGAAGAUGUCCACCUGAAGAGAGAGUGCUGGAGGUCAGAAACAACAGAAAGAAAACUCUGCUGACUGCAAUGAGGAUUCUAAAGAGAGAAUAUGGAACAGGCAAAGGAGUCAUAAAAUACAGAUCCUAGAUUGUGAGAGAA